UACGUAGGGUGCAAGCGUUGUCCAGAAUUAUUGGGCGUAAAGAGCUCGUAGGCGGUUUGUCGCGUCUGCUGUGAAAACUCGAGGCUCAACCUCGGGCUUGCAGUGGGUACGGGGCAGACUAGAGUUCGGGUAGGGGAGACUGGAAUUCCUGGGUGUAGCGGUGAAAUGCGCAGAUAUCAGGGAGGAACACCGGUGGCGAAGGCGG
rnacentral:rRNA from 1 species